AAAUCGCCCCGCACGCUGCCCUCCUCGCCAAUCCCCUCGUUUCCGCUCCUCCUCCAGUCCCCUCCAUCUUUGCCUUUUUCCUCCAACCUCUCCUCUCCUCCCGCCUUCUCUGAUCUUCCUCCACACCAAGAGAGCAGCGGAUGGUGCCCGGCGGGAGAAGCGCAGCUGCCGUGCGUGUCGUCCCAUCGCCGGACGAGCAGGUGGUGGCUGGUGGGAGCAGCGCCACCGCCGCCAUGCACCGUGUCGUCCCCGAACGAGCAGGUGAUGGCCGGCGGGAGCAGCACAGCCGCCACCAUCGCUGGGAGGAGCUGCUGCGCGCCAUCGCAGAGAGGAGCCGCAUCUGGCUGUACGUCCGCCCGAUGAGCAGUCACCAUGGCUAGGAGAGGAAGCGCAGGCCACCACUCACCCCGCCACCUCGCAUCAUCAUCAUCGCCGGGAGGAGCCGCAGGUUGCUGUUAUUUGGUGAUUGGCCUCCAUCUCUCCCUCCUGCGCCUUGGUACUCCCUCCAUAUGCCACCCUUCUCCUCUUGCCUCUUCUCCUCCUAGUUUUGUCCGUCCAUGCCCCCCCCCCCCCUCUCACUCUCAGACUUGGGAGGGGAAAAGGUGAUGGUUCUUAGGAGAUGGGGUGGCCGCUGGGAUCCCCUCACCUCCAUGAUAUUGGUGCUAAAAAUCCUCAAAUCCUAGGUAGGGGCGUUUGUGAAGAAGAAGGUCAAGGCCACUUUUCUAAGUCAUAUGUUGCUCAGUUAAGUUCUCAAGUGAUUGAACCAUGUGAUUUAGUAUUGUUCUAAACACAGUGUGUGCAGGUUUGAGGAAGAAGAGAACAAAAGAUUUAGAAGAUUUCCCAUAACCUAACUUCAGAUUUUCGGGUGAACAAUUCUAGGAAAACCUACCGCGCCCUGAAAAUAGGAUGUAAAAGUUUUUCCAUUGACACUUUAUUUUGGAAGUAUUGUCAAUUGUACGAGUCCAUGUGGGAGUGACUUUUGCGUCUCUGCUGUUCCAAAUUCAUUCCCUAGAAGCCUGGAACCAUCAUACCUAUCAAUGCAUCUUAUUCGUCAUGGUUAUUGCAGAAAAUUUGAAGAAUGGUCAUAUGCUGAGACACCGGAUCCUGGAUGUGCGUGAGGACGCACUGCGAUGGGAGGUGAGGGAGUGUGAGCGGAGGGCCGACGAGCAGAGCCAGCUGCUGGCAGAGCUCUUGCAGCUCAUUGGGAUGCCCGAGGUCCGUACGCUUUUCUUUACACAUUCUUUUCUCUAUGUUGUGUUAAAUCGUAUUGUCCUGCAGAUCUGACUAUCACUAUGUUUGUUCCAAAGUACAUGGUUUAAACAGAUCCAUUUAAGCUGAAGAAUGCCAAAUCAUCUCAGAUGCAAAAGGAAAGCUACAAAUUUUGGACCAAUUAUCAAAGUAAUGGUUGCAAGAAGAAUUUUUUAGAACUGGUCACCCUUGAUAAGGUUGCAAGAUGCAGAUGCAAAAGGAAAGGUGCAAAUCUUGCAUUGGUCCCAAGCACAAAUAGAGUUUUCUUCCCUUCAAAAUUCUCUCUUUAAUAAUCUACCUUUUCUGAUAUAUGCUAUAUUCCUACUCUCUCUUGAAAUAACAGAAAAUGCUUAAUAACAAUAUACAUACAAAUCUAAUAGAAAUAAGUAGUGGCUCUGCAAAUGUAACACCCUAGGAUACGGUAAAUGAUUAUACGUACAUGUUCUGCUGCUCAAUUUCUGUAGUGAAGUCACGUUGAAGAAUUGUUAUAUGCAAGUGGAAGGUGUCAGGUUUUACCAGUGGUCACAAUUAUGAUUUACUACUUUUUUCUUUCCAGCAAUGAGACUUUUCCCUAUUAGUUCUUAGAAAGCAUGAGCGCAUCCAGUAGAGACGAGAUUGACAUCCUGCUCUAGGCGAGUACCACUGCGGCACACCACGCUCCUGCAAACAGGUUUGGCAGCAGUAGCAGCCGGCACCGGCGAGGACAUGAAGCCAUUGGAUUAUAAAACUGCAUGCAUUCUAGGAGGCUGGCUUGAUUAUCCAUUGUUUUCUUUCGCACACAACUGCGUACAUGUUGCUCAUCCUUGGUUAUAUCCCAUCUUGCUGGCUAAUGUAUUAAAUGAAGUAUUUGUUUUGCUAUUGUAUCUGCAGUACUACAUAUAUUAUGUUCUUUUGAUCUCAAAUAUAGAAUCUAUAUACUUGAGAUAAUUAGCGUGGGUACCAGUGCAGGUACGCAACAUGUAAGAAAGGAGUGGAGAUGAGAGAAAAAGAGAAGAGAACAGGAAUUGAUUUUUUUUUGCCAAUUCAACCACACAUUUGCUUUCACAAGAACUGGUUGAUGCUCUCAGGGACAAUUUUUGUUUCAUCAUAUAUACUUCAGUACGUAUGUGCGUUAUUUACUCCUUGGUGUGUUGACAUGGAGUGGGAUGGUAGCGAACAGUUUCAAGGUGCAGAUCUUCUUCUGUUAUUGAUGCCACCUGGUGAGAUUUGUCCAACUCCACUUUGUGGCAUAGGUUUGGUCUAUAUAUACGAUGUAUUCAUGGCUUGAUUUGUAAGGUGGAUAUAGGAUUCCUGUUAUUUUACAACUAAUAGUGGCAAAACUAUUUAGGAAGGUGUAUAGGAUCCUUGCUGCUUUAUUUAGGUGGAGGAAGACAUUGAAGCAAAACAACAAAAAAAAUGUAUAUGAUCUCCCUGGUAAUUUUGUUAUGGGAGGUAGUCAAGUUCCUUUUGGCAAUGAUAUUUGUAUACCCUAUUGAAAUGUAUCUUAUGCCUAGAGAGGGAGUGCGCAUACCUGAAAUUUAAUACUUUAAAUUGCAGGUUGUUUGACAAGGUGCCAAUGAUGACAUGUGAAGCCUUCUGUACUAAAAGAAAACCCAUUGUUUAUUUUCUGUAAGAUCGCUUCUCUUCUUUGCACCUCUUUUUAAUACAUGCUUGACCAUUGGUUCUUAUUGGAUUAGAAGGUAGCUGCUUGUGUUGUUCAUAUUUUAUUCUGGGUUGUUAUGGAUUCGUCCAUCGCUAAGUAUCAACCCAUAUUUCUUCUUAAACAGAAGCAUAAGCUUCUGCCUAUUGUUGCUGAAUAUGUAGACAGUGAAGCAUUGAGCACCAUAAUUUCUAACAAGCUUCGUGCAGGCUAUGGUCAGUGCUGAAUAUAUUUUCUUCCUUGUGCCUAAAAGUUGACAUAAUCUCUUUAUCUUAUUCAAGAUGGACAGUACAUUAGUGAGAUCAGAGCUCUUGAUUUUGGAGAGAGGAUUCCAGCUUAUAGGAUAUUGUUGUCCUUAUACGGGCUUAAGAAAGUCAAUAGCACAUAGAUAUUACCCCUAUCUAUAUCCUUAUAUAGUUAUCAGAUAAUUGCGUUCACCUCAGUUUUAAAUUCACACUUUACUGGGAUUUGGUCAUAACUAAAGGACAUGGAAUGUAUCUUCAACUUUAAGCCUGAUCAUAUGAUUGGUGCUUUGAGAAAAGGUAAAGCAUUUCGUUGGUGCUAAAUUGCAUUUUCUGUUUCAGGCCUUGCGGAACUAAACUUCUCAAUAACACAACAAAUAUCAGCUUCCUAAAAAGUAUAAAUUGUAAAAGCUUGAAUAUGCACGUAUGUUUCUAAUAAAAAAGGGUGGUUUGUGUUGGCUCUUAUAAUAGUCAUUUGUAGGCUUGUAGGGACAGUGAUGUUCGAGUUGCGCGAGCAAUGUUGUUCUUUGUCAUAAGAAUGACACUACUAAUUUGAUUGCUGGCAUGGACGUUUUAGAAACUGUCUAAAAUGACUGAAUCGAUGCUUAUAAGCUAAUUCAUCUUAGAGCUAGCUUUCAUAAAUGCUCAAAUAUUUUUUAUAGGAAGUUGCAAUGUUUUAUAUACGGUGUAUUGUCAUGUAUAUAUGCAUAAUAUAUUGGUAAAGCUUCUUCCCUCAAAGUAAUGGGUGUACAUUUGUACAUCCAAGUACCCAUCUGGCUCUGCACAUUACCUUGCUCAGCUGGUUGGGAUGGACGCCAUGAGAUUUGGCGUGGUUGAGGUGAGUUUUGUCAAUUAGGCCAAUUUUUCGUCAUGUCUCACGACUUUUCCCUUUCCUCAUUUGGAUUAGUUUUUCUAUAAUUGUGCCAGAUCUAAGUGGACUCUAGAAAGAGAUCAAUAUGAUGAUAUAACCGAUGUCUGAUAUUGCUCACGAAUUUCACCUUUCCCCAUUUGGAUUAGUUUAAGUCUAAUGUUUUAUGUGCCUAUUGUACAGAUCUGUUCUGAUAUUGCUCAGUUUUCAAGUUGCUUCUGGUGAAGAUUUGGUUGAGUGUAAUCUUCACCUGGUGUAUUUUCAAAUUGACUACUGCGAGGUUUGUUGGUCUAUUUUUUAAACAUUUUUGUGGUGACUGGAUGUAAAUAAUUACAUUGUCACCGUGAUGGAACCAAAUACCACUUGCACCUGUGUACAUGUGUGAUGUUAUUCUGCACAUUGUGCAGCAGGUAAUAUUGGCCAAAUUUAAUAGAUAGUUCUACCUGAUAUUAUGGUGCACUCCCAUGCAGCAUAAUAUAUAUCUUUAACUGAUGUUAUGACCCAGUUUGUUUCAUGCCGUGGUCUGUUACCUUUCUUAGAUCCGUUUGAUUCUGGUAUGCCUCGUAAUUUACAAUUGUUUUCCUUUUCUCCUCCAGCAUGAGGCUCAGCUUGUUGAUAAUGGGACUACAUUGUCAGGGUUCUGCAAGUCUAGCAGAUAUGGGUCAACUGAUGAUGAUUAUGCGAAUUUGGAUGGCACCACACCUGAACACUAAACAGCCAUAUUAUCGGCCACCUGUUCUCCAUCACUGGUACUCCGAUAACAAGGUUCCAGUAAUCGCUAUAUUGCGUAUAAAGCGCGAGCGAGAGCUAGAAACGAGGCCUCAGAAUAAUCGUUGGGCAUUUAAAAGGGUAGCCUACGUUUUUUUUUGUAAUAUUCUUUAACAUAAGGCUCAUCAUUGAUUUGGUGGCAUCUUA